GAGUUUGAUCAUGGCUCAGGGUGAACGCUGGCGGCGUGCUUAAGACAUGCAAGUCGAACGGUCCCUUCGGGGAUAGUGGCGCACGGGUGAGUAACGCGUAACUGACCUACCCCAAAGUCGCGGAUAACGAUUCGAAAGAAUCGCUAAUACGUGAUGUGCAGUCAGAUUGUGUUCUGCCAGUAAAGAUUUAUUGCUUUGGGAUGGGGUUGCGUUCCAUCAGCUAGUUGGUGGGGUAAAGGCCUACCAAGGCGACGACGGAUAGCCGGCCUGAGAGGGUGGCCGGCCACAGGGGCACUGAGACACGGGUCCCACUCCUACGGGAGGCAGCAGUUAGGAAUCUUCCACAAUGGGCGAAAGCCUGAUGGAGCGACGCCGCGUGAGGGACGAAGGUCUUCGGAUUGUAAACCUCUGAAUCAGGGACGAAAGACGCGUAAGCGGGAUGACGGUACCUGAGUAAUAGCACCGGCUAACUCCGUGCCAGCCGCCGCGGUAAU
rnacentral:rRNA from 1 species